rnacentral:rRNA from 1 species
UACGUAGGCAGCGAGCGUUGUUCGGAAUUACUGGGCGUAAAGAGUGUGUAGGCGGUGCUCCCAGUCUGUUGUGAAAUCUCCCGGCUUAACUGGGAGGGUGCAGCGGAAACUAGAGUGCUAGAGGGUGGGAGAGGUAAGCGGAAUUCCUGGUGUAGCGGUGAAAUGCGUAGAUAUCAGGAGGAACACCUGUGGCGAAAGCGGCUCACUGGACCAUAACUGACGCUGAUGCACGAAAGCUGGGGGAGCAAACAGG